ACAAAAGAAGGUAUUCACAAAACUGGUAAACAAGUCUGGACGGAACUAGGUUCCAUAAAUGUCGAUGGAGCGCGGACAGCAACCUUGCACCAAUCAUGUAUCCGCUUUAUACGUAGGGACAGAAACUGUAACCAAUCAUGUAACUAUUGCUAGYRCMYGVGUAUUGCUUGUCGAUAUAUAUACUUUGUGUAAGCUCUAAUAAGGGGAGAACGACCAUACUUAUAUUGAGACUCAUCGUUACUCCGGGCCCGUUCCCCCCACUCCGACACACAGGGACACUGAAGUCACCAGGGAUGUGGCAGUGGUGCCUGGACAGAGCAGUGGGGCUGGGCUGACAGCAGUGUCAUUCAGUGUCAUCAUCAGGAUGGGGAGGAGUCGCCCUCGGGAGUGACUCCUGAGCCAUGUGGAGUGGCUGAGGGCCAGACGUGCCCGUCCAAGYUGGGUGCCUACAGUCCUGUGCCCUGCAGGGUUGCAUGGGGACUUCCCAGGCUCAAUCCAUCCCUGCCUCCAGCAGGUCCUGAGCUCUCCCCGAGGAGCCGUGCAAGGCACCAGCAUCUCCCCGAGCACAUGGGGAGUCUCCACAGCCAACUCUGGUGCAGAGCCUGGCACUGCCGACUCCGCAGCUGAGCAAGAGGAAUCCCCACUGCUGCAUGCGUGCUCCUGCGACCCUGGGAGAGACGUCCCUGUCCUGCCCAGAGGCGACCCAGCAGACAGCUAUAGUGGUGCCAGGGAAGCCUCUGACCCAAGGGAGGAUCUUGUUCCUGGACAGCAAGACUGGGAAGAGCCCGGGGAGGCACAGAGAGGGGGCAGCCUGAACUCCCGGGAAAAUGAUGGGGCCCCUGGAGCCACGAGAGCCGCCCUGUCCCUGCCACCCCGUGAGCACAGGGUACGAUGAUGCUGAAGAGAUGCCUCCGGCACAUGCCCAUGAGGACACCAAGACUGUGAGACUGGACCCUGGUGCCAAAAGGUCCCUGAGCCCAAGGCCAGGGGAGCCCUCCCUUGCCAUGCGGUUGGGUGCACCUGGGACGGAAGAGAGGUCUGUGCAGCUGGGAGACCUGUGAGGGCCAGAGCACGGUCUCCCUUCUCCCACUGGCAGCAGAAAGAGCUGGGCGUUUCCUCUAUUUUUAGUCCUCUACUUUUACACCAUGCAUUGGUAUUUGUUCUUUUAAAACCCUUUGGAGAUUUGAUGAGGAGCUGGUGCUUCCCUCCCCAGCUGUUGCGGUGUCUCCCCGAGGCUGAUCAGGGAGGGCGAAGGACCAAGAACCGGCAGUGGGGAAGGGACACGUCUCGGAAGCAGUGGGCUCUGAGACAGGCUGUGUGCCUGCAAGCGCCCCUGGUCCCUGGAGUGCGGGAAUAGUGAGCAGCCCAGCUGGAGGAUAGUCCUGCUGGCAGAGACAUUUCCAUCCUGCAAACCCCACACAGUUCCCAGCCAAAAUGGGUCUCUCUGCAGGGGCCUGUAAUGCCCCUCUGGGCAGGGAGGUCCAGUUUCCUCACCCCAGGAGUGCCCCUGCUUGCUCUUUUCCCAGGGGCUCUGCCUGGGCCACCCUGGUCUCAGGCACAGAGGCCACCCCAGAGCUGCAGUGACAGGGCUAGCC
ensembl:lncRNA